rnacentral:rRNA from 1 species
AACGUAGGUGGCGAGCGUUAUCCGGAUUUACUGGGCGUAAAGCGUGUGCAGGCGGGGAACCAAGUGGGGUAUGAAAUCGCCCGGCUAAAACGGGCUAGGUUAUGCCAGACUGGUUUUCUGGAGUGCGAGAGAGGGGCGUGGAAUUCCGGGUGUAGUGGUGAAAUGCGUAGAGAUCCGGAGGAACCCCAGAGGCGAAGGCGGCGCCCUGGCUCGCAACUGACGCUCAGACACGACAGCAUGGGGAGCGAACGGG